GCCAGGACGGCUGGGGGCGCUGUCCACUCAGGACAAAGAAGCAAGUGCCCCGUUUUAGGGGAGCUGCCACCCAGGCUGGCUCAUCCCAUGCCCGUGAGGCGGGGGCAUGUCAGGUUUCCGGGCGGCAGGACAGACUGUGCAGAGCAAUAAAGUUCUUGCUACAGGAAGGUGGGGACAGGAGCCAGGUGGCCUGGGGCGGGCAGGGGCAGGUGUGCCGGGGUGUGGGCCCAGGCCCCCUGUGUGAGGUGGUGGGGCAGGCACUAGCCACUGCCGAAUCCACCCUGUGUCCCUCUGGGCCGGGAGGGGCCCUCAGCUCAGGUGGGGGGGCCCGAGGGUCAUGCAGCCCCAUGCCCACCUCCCGACGGCCCUUGCUUCCCCGACAGGGCUGAGGGUGAUUUGUGGUCCUUUGGGGAGAGGUUGCCAAGGCGGGGACCUGCCUCGGCCCUGCCAGCUCCCCUCAGCACCGGGAAGUGGAGGGACCCACAGGCAGUGCUCGGGGUGUCCAGCCCACGGGGCUCAGUCCAGGGCAGGGCCCAGAGCCCCGGGGGCCCGGGGGGGACCAGCCUGGGGCGCCGCUCCUUUCUCUGGGGCCUGGGUUCCUACGCUGAGUGUGGUGGGGGCAGCCGCACACGGUUGGGACCUCGGCGAGGGGGGGCCCCAGCAGCGCUGUGGCAGGGACCUCUCUGAGGCUGCCCAGUGCCAGUCCGGGGCAGCAAACACCAGCGACUCCGCCUUCUGGAGCCUUCUGAGCUGUGAAGCCAGUGACUGCUGUCCUGAGUUUUCGUUGCUGAAGCCAAAGCCGCUGGGGAAGCCUGUCCUUCCAAGGACAAGUGGGUGCAGUGUGACCCUUUUUAAUUAAAUCUAUGACAAAUGAUCCGGUUUCUGAGGCAGGACACAUCUGGAAGAUGGGAAGUGCCAGCCUGAGCCGGGCUCCGUCCGGGCACCUGGGGGGCUGCACGAGGGAUGCGCCUCCCACUCGCUCGGUCCUGGGGCUUGAAUUGUACCACCUUGUAAUCAAAGGAGGAGGAGGGGCAGAGAAAAGCUGUGGCGGUAGAUGCACUGUUCCUGCACUUCCUCAGCGUCCGCCCCCCAUGGAUGGUCGUUAAACAGAUGGUAUUACAUCAGUGGGAUAAAAGACAGGCCUGUGGUGCCAACCGCAGCUGGAGGCUGGGAGGUGACCCCUGGGGAUGGGAACCCCGUGGCGGCAGGCUCGCUGCGCCCGGGACAGAGCCUCGCGGGGCUGCGCCGAGCGUGGCCUGAGACCUGUGCUGUCGUGGCCCGAGGCCAGCCGUAGACAAAGCCCAAAGCCUGCUGCCUUUCUACCUGCAUUAACGGCAAACGCCUCGAAGGAAACGGACGCUGGCCACUUCGAAGGAGACUCAUUAUUUCCUGAGCAACACCUCAUGGACGGGGCCCCAGCCGCCCACCAGACAGGCCUGGCUUCCUCCAGGUCCCUUCCGAGCUUUCUCAAGGCCCACGCUCACUUUAGUCUCGGAGAUGUUUUUCCUUAAAACUCAGACGUCCCCCAAAAGCCACCGGUAGAAACACCUACACUUCCCUGUUGCUGUGGGAGGACUACGUG
ensembl:lncRNA